AUAAAGAAAAGGCAAAUCUAUUGAAAAGUAGAGACGCAAAGUCACAGGUCUAAGGUCAAAUGACUAGGACGGCUGGGUUACCGAA
rnacentral:ncRNA from 1 species